UACAGAGGGUGCAAGCGUUAAUCGGAAUUACUGGGCGUAAAGCGUGCGUAGACGGUUAUGUAAGACAGAUGUGAAAGCCCCGGGCUUAACCUGGGAAUGGCAUUUGAGACUGCAUAGCUAGGGUGCGGAAGAGGGAAGCGGAAUUUCAGGUGUAGCGGUGAAAUGCGUAGAUAUCGGAAGGAACACCAGUGGCGAAAGCGGCUUCCUGGUCCAGCACCGACGUUCAGGCACGAAAGCGUGGGGAGCAAACAGG
rnacentral:rRNA from 1 species